AUUGAACGCUGGCGGCAGGCCUAACACAUGCAAGUCGAGCGGAUGAAGGGAGCUUGCUCCUGGAUUCAGCGGCGGACGGGUGAGUAAUGCCUAUGAAUCUGCCUGGUAGUGGGGGAUAACGUCCGGAAACGGGCGCUAAUACCGCAUACGUCCUGAGGGAGAAAGUGGGGGAUCUUCGGACCUCACGCUAUCAGAUGAGCCUAGGUCGGAUUAGCUAGUUGGUGGGGUAAAGGCCUACCAAGGCGACGAUCCGUAACUGGUCUGAGAGGAUGAUCAGUCACACUGGAACUGAGACACGGUCCAGACUCCUACGGGAGGCAGCAGUGGGGAAUAUUGGACAAUGGGCGAAAGCAUGAUCCAGCCAGGCCGCGUGUGUGAAGAAGGUCUUCGGAUUGUAAAGAACUUUAAGUUGGGAGGAAGGGCAGUAAGUUAAUACCUUGCUGUUUUGACGUUACCAACAGAAUAAGCACCGGCUAACUUCGUG
rnacentral:rRNA from 1 species